rnacentral:rRNA from 1 species
UACGUAGGGUGCGAGCGUUGUCCGGAAUUACUGGGCGUAAAGAGCUCGUAGGUGGUUUGUCGCGUUGUUCGUGAAAACCCGGGGCUCAACCCCGGGCCUGCAUUCGAUACGGGCAGACUAGAGUUCGGUAGGGGAGACUGGAAUUCCUGGUGUAGCGGUGAAAUGCGCAGAUAUCAGGAGGAACACCGAUGGCGAAGGCAGGUCUCUGGGCCGAUACUGACGUGAGGAGCGAAAGCGUGGGGAGCGAACAGG